AGAAGGAUUCAAAGGUAUGGUUUUUUGUUGAGAAUUGUAUGAACUCCAAACUCUGUAAUCAGAGUGAUGGUGGUGUACAACUCAUCCAGCAAGUUCAAGG